GACGAACGCUGGCGGCGUGCUUAACACAUGCAAGUCGAGCGAUGAAGCUCCUUCGGGAGUGGAUUAGCGGCGGACGGGUGAGUAACACGUGGGUAACCUGCCUCAUAGAGGGGAAUAGCCUUCCGAAAGGAAGAUUAAUACCGCAUAAGAUUGUAGUUCCGCAUGGGACAGCAAUUAAAGGAACAAUCCGCUAUGAGAUGGACCCGCGUCGCAUUAGCUAGUUGGUGAGGUAACGGCUCACCAAGGCGACGAUGCGUAGCCGACCUGAGAGGGUGAUCGGCCACAUUGGGACUGAGACACGGCCCAGACUCCUACGGGAGGCAGCAGUGGGGAAUAUUGCACAAUGGGGGAAACCCUGAUGCAGCAGCGCCGCGUGAGUGAUGACGGUCUUCGGAUUGUAAAACUCUGUCUUUGGGGACGAUAAUGACGGUACCCAAGGAGGAAGCCACGGCUAACUACGUGCCAGCCGCCGCUGUAAAAC
rnacentral:rRNA from 1 species